rnacentral:rRNA from 1 species
AUUGAACGCUGGCGGCAGGCCUAACACAUGCAAGUCGAACGAGUGGCGGACGGGUGAGUAAUGUCUGGGAAACUGCCCGAUGGAGGGGGAUAACUACUGGAAACGGUAGCUAAUACCGCAUACCAUCGGAUGUGCCCAGAUGGGAUUAGGUAGUUGGUGAGGUAAAGGCUCACCAAGCCGACGAUCUCUAGCUGGUCUGAGAGGAUGACCAGCCAAACUGGAACUGAGACACGGGCCAGACUCCUACGGGGGGCAGCAGUGGGGAAUAUUGCACAAUGGGCGCAAGCCUGAUGCAGCCAUGCCGCGUGUGUGAAGAAGGCCUUCGGGUUGUAAAGCACUUUCAGCGAGGAGGCGUUACUCGCAGAAGAAGCACCGGCUAACUCCGUGCCAGCAGCCGCGGUAAUA